CCAGACUCCUACGGGAGGCAGCAGUGAGGAAUAUUGGUCAAUGGGCGCGAGCCUGAACCAGCCAAGUCGCGUGAGGGAAGACGGUCCUAUGGAUUGUAAACCUCUUUUGUCGGGGAGCAAAAGACGCCACGUGUGGCGUUCCAAGAGUACCCGAAGAAAAAGCAUCGGCUAACUCCGUGCCAGCAGCCGCGGUAAUACGGAGGAUGCGAGCGUUAUCCAGAUUUAUUGGGUUUAAAGGGUGCGUAGGCGGGAUGCCAAGUCAGCGGUAAAAAUGCGGUGCUCAACGCCGUCGAGCCGUUGAAACUGGCGUUCUUGAGUGGGCGAGAAGUAUGCGGAAUGCGUGGUGUAGCGGUGAAAUGCAUAGAUAUCACGCAGAACUCCGAUUGCGAAGGCAGCAUACCGGCGCGCAACUGACGCUCAUGCACGAAAGCGUGGGUAUCGAACAGGAUUAGAUACCCCAGUA
rnacentral:rRNA from 1 species